GAUGAACGCUGGCGGCGUGCCUAAUACAUGCAAGUCGAGCGAACAGACGAGGAGCUUGCUCCUCUGACGUUAGCGGCGGACGGGUGAGUAACACGUGGAUAACCUACCUAUAAGACUGGGAUAACUUCGGGAAACCGGAUCUAAUACCGGAUAAUAUAUUGAACCGCAUGGUUCAAUAGUGAAAGACGGUUUUGCUGUCACUUAUAGAUGGAUCCGCGCCGCAUUAGCUAGUUGGUAAGGUAACGGCUUACCAAGGCGACGAUGCGUAGCCGACCUGAGAGGGUGAUCGGCCACACUGGAACUGAGACACGGUCCAGACUACUACGGGAGGCAGCAGUAGGGAAUCUUCCGCAAUGGGCGAAAGCCUGACGGAGCAACGCCGCGUGAGUGAUGAAGGUCUUCGGAUCGUAAAACUCUGUUAUUAGGGAAGAACAAAUGUGUAAGUAACUAUGCACGUCUUGACGGUACCUAAUCAGAAAGCCACGGCUAACUACGUG
rnacentral:rRNA from 1 species